rnacentral:tRNA from 1 species
GGUCGUUAGCUCAGUUGGUAGAGCAGUUGACUUUUAAUCAAUUGGUCGCAGGUUCGAAUCCCUGUCUAUUA